rnacentral:misc_RNA from 1 species
AACUGAUACUACCUGCGGGAACCUGCGGAAGGAUCAUUAUCGUUGGGCUCCUGCCCAUUCGAGAUAACACCCUUGCCUUUUUGAGUACCUUUUCGUUUCCUCGGCAGGCACGCCUGCCAACGGGGACCCUUCAAAACGCUUUGUAAUACCUGUCAUUGUCUGAUAUAACAAGCAAAAAUCAAAACUUUUAGCAACGGAUCUCU